UGCAGCAGGAUCAGCU
rnacentral:miRNA from 1 species